rnacentral:sRNA from 1 species
CCUUGGCUUAUGCAUGUAUGUCUGCUUUUAUUCCCAAAUACCUGUAUAACUUCUUCUUAAAAGACAACUCACAUGUAAUACAAGAGUAUCUGACUGUCUUCUCUCAGAUGAUUGCAUUUCAUGAUCCAGAGCUGAGUAAUCAUCUCAAUGAGAUUGGCUUCAUUCCAGAUAUGUAUUUCCACUACACAAAAUUUUCCACCUCUGGGAUACCUUACUACUUGGGAAUUCCUCUUUCCCAUUCUGUAUUGGAGUAGCAAUUCUUCAGCAGCUGCGGGACCGGCUUUUGGCUAAUGGCUUUAAUGAGUGUAUUCUUCUCUUCUCCGAUUUACCAGAUGCAGAAAAGGCCUUCAACAAAAUUCAACAGCCUUUCAUGCUAAAAACUCUCAAUAAACUAGGUAUUGAUGGAAUGUAUCUCAACAUAAUAAGAGCUAUUUGUGACGGACCCACAGCCAAUAUCAUACUGAAUGGGCAAAAACUGGAAGGAUUCCCUUUGAAAACUGGCACAGGACAAGGAUGCCCUCUCACACCACUCCUAUUCAACGUAGUUUUGGACUUUCUGGCCAGGGCAGUCAGGCAAGAGAAAGAAAUAAAGG